GACGAACGCUGGCGGCGUGCCUAAUACAUGCAAGUAGAACGCACAGUUUAUACCGUAGCUUGCUACACGAUAAACUGUGAGUUGCGAACGGGUGAGUAACGCGUAGGUAACCUGCCUGGUAGCGGGGGAUAACUAUUGGAAACGAUAGCUAAUACCGCAUAAUAUUAAUUAUUGCAUGAUAAUUGAUUGAAAGAUGCAAUUGCAUCACUACCAGAUGGACCUGCGUUGUAUUAGCUAGUAGGUGAGGUAACGGCUCACCUAGGCGAGGAUACAUAGCCGACCGGCGAGGGCGAGCAGCCACACUGGGAGUGUGACACGGCACAGACUCAUACGGGAGGCGGCAGUACGGAAUCGUCGGCAAUGGAUGAAAGUCUGACCGAGAUACGCCGCGUGAGUGAACAAGAUUGUCGGAUCGUAAAGCUCGGUUGUAGGAGAAGAACGGGUGUGCGAGUGGAAAGUUCACUCUGUGACGGUAUCUUACCAGAAAGCGACGGCUAACUACGUG
rnacentral:rRNA from 1 species